AGGCGAAUGAACUGCAAAGUUUAAAGCCUCUUAAAAACAAAGAAACAAACAAAUAAUUGUUAUUUCUUCCGUAGACUCUUGAGUGGCAGCGACAAUGUAUACGCUCCCAUGUCUACGCGCUGUCGAUUGGUUUGAACGGGGAGAAAAUGGCCUCCAUUUGAUGUUUUCAAAUAGCACCGUAAGCAUCGGUAUUCGAUGCUUAUGACGGACCUCAGUCCGUAUCAUGGUGAACAUAUGUUACCUUUGUGUGAUGAGUAUUUGGUUGGCUGGAAUAAGUCGAUUGAAUAACGCCUUCCGGUCUUAUGUGCAGGAAUGCAGCAGAGCUCUUUAUUGUAACUUAAAAGCAAGAUGGAACAUCCAACGGUAAAGUGCAACCUCAUCAAAUUGAUUUCCGUUUACAUGUUUCGUUUACAACUUCGAUGAUUGUAAACAAUGUACAAAGAUUGUGACAUCUGUAGUCAGCGCGAAAGAAUCAUGCUGUGUCCCAAUUUGUCACUACUUUCGGCGGUUGUAGUAGGCGAUGGUUGCAUCUUCGCACAAGAAAAUGGAGUGGCGAAAAUAGCAGAAAACCAAAAAGGGGGAACAACGAGAAUAUUUCCUCCUAAAUUGAGACUAGCCCUCUGAUAAGCAGCCAUAUUUUGGAGGCCAGCAUCUCGAGCACCAACCUGCCGAAGAUGUAGACACUUUGAUGUGCCCUCAACCCCCCCCCCCCCCCCCCAUUUAAGGCUGAGGUGUUGGCAACAUCCGAGCCCAUAGGAAGAGAUGAGCGAUGUCAUCCUGCCGAUGAUGGCUGAUUGGGACGCCGUAACUGCAGAGGUGUCCUUUACAAGUAGCAGAUGUAGUGACGACGACAUUCGGUGUGAAUGUUUGAGAAAAAUGAACUGCGAAGUUUAAAGCCUCUUUCAUAGAAAAAGAAAAUAUGUGACCAGCUGGAAUGGACUACUCGUGCAAGUAUUUAGCUCUUAGCAUUAAAGUUAAGAUAGUAUUUGGAUCCAACCAUGUUCAGUUAUAGCUAUGUAUUUUGGAGCAACAUUUUAUAGGAGAGACUAUUUGAUAGGAAAAAACAAAAAGUAUAGCUAGGGAAUUUAGUUUGAAAAGUUACAGAUUAGCUCAGUUGAAAACUCAGACAGUAUUAUUUUUACUCACGGGUAAAUUUAGGUCUUAGUCGAUUCUCCGCGCACUACCCAUUUCGAAUCAAAUACAGUUCGCAGCAAUCAACGCUCACAGGGUGAAAAUUCGGUUAAAAAGAAAAAUGUCACUUUCUGCAGUUCACAAUUCAAGAUUCAUUCUAUUUAAUAAUGAUUUUCGAUAAUUCACUAAAUUCAAAAAUAUUUUCUUUGAUUGCCUAGAAUCAAAUGUUUUGUAUGCAAUAUUCAGCUUUCUCUGAACCGAUUUUUGUCGACAGAUAGAAUUAAAGCCAUCACAGUGGUGAGUAAAAAGAGCAGAAACUUUGAAUUAGUGCCCAAAUAGUUUCUUGAUAGCUGUAGAAGUGUGUACAUAUAAGAAAGUUGCCCUUUUAAAGAAGAAAAACAUCCCAACGUACAAAUCCGAUGAAGCAAACAUUCGUACAAAACUAGUGUAACUAUUUAUUCCAUGAGUACGGGAUAUCGUUUACAAAUUCACUCAUUCAGAGCAUCAUCAUUCUGUAUUCAUAUAAAGAUCUCGAAUUUCGCACUUCACUCCAGCCAUAAGAGCAGCUUUGGUUCAGAUUCGUUGAAGAUAUUUGGCAUUUUUAACCUUCUUCCCAGAGUGUCCGCUUCAUUAGAGUCCAAAACCUUUCGAUUAGGCGUAAGUCUGAACAAUAUGAACCUUAUUGGCUUCCUAUCACUUCAUGAAUGAAAUCGGGAAGGGGACUCGCAGUUUCGUAGAAUCAAAGCAUCAAUCGGCAAAUGGAAGGAUAGAGCCAACACGUAUGUACAGUGAUUUUUUUUCCACGUCUUCGUAUCCGGUUAUCGCAGCCGUUUUUGGUAUUGACGCCGUUUAUUAUGCAUUUGUUAUUGAUGUCUAUCAGUUGGUCAUCAUUUAUUGUAUUUUUCUUUAGGAUUGAUAUGACAGCUCUCGUAUCCACGAAUAAGGUGCAUGGUUUCUUAUGGCGGGUUUACAUUAGGGAGAUUAUAGCUAUAGAUGGAUUUAUUCACGCAA